rnacentral:rRNA from 1 species
UGGGGAAUAUUGCACAAUGGGCGGAAGCCUGAUGCAGCAACGCCGCGUGCGGGAUGACGGCCUUCGGGUUGUAAACCUCUUUCAGUAGGGAAGAAGCGAAAGUGACGGUACCUGCAGAAGAAGCGCCGGCUAACUACGUGC